CCAAUAGCGUAUAUUAAAGUUGUUGUGGUUAAAAAGCUCGUAGUUGAACCUUGGGCCUGGCUGGCCGGUCCGCCUCACCGCGUGUACUGGUCCGGCCGGGCCUUUCCCCCUGUGGAACCCCAUGCCCUUCACUGGGCGUGGCGGGAAAACAGGACUUUUACUUUGAAAAAAUUAGAGUGCUCCAGGCAGGCCUAUGCUCGAAUACAUUAGCAUGGAAUAAUAGAAUAGGACGUGUGGUUCUAUUUUGUUGGUUUCUAGGACCGCCGUAAUGAUUAAUAGGGACAGUCGGGGGCAUCAGUAUUCAAUUGUCAGAGGUGAAAUUCUUGGAUUUAUUGAAGACUAACUACUGCGAAAGCAUUUGCCAAGGAUGUUUUCAUUAAUCAGGAACGAAAGUUAGGGGAUCGAAGACGAUCAGAUACCGUCGUAGUCUUAACCAUAAACUAUGCCGACUAGGGAUCGGACGAUGUUAUUUUUUGACUCGUUCGGCACCUUACG
rnacentral:rRNA from 1 species